rnacentral:rRNA from 1 species
UUUGUGGGGGAUAACAGUUGGAAACGACUGCUAAUACCGCAUACGCCCUACGGGGGAAAGCAGGGGACCUUCGGGCCUUGCGCUGAUGGAUAAGCCCAGGUGGGAUUAGCUAGUAGGUGAGGUAAAGGCUCACCUAGGCGACGAUCCCUAGCUGGUCUGAGAGGAUGAUCAGCCACACUGGGACUGAGACACGGCCCACACUCCUACGGGAGGCAGCAGUGGGGAAUAUUGCACAAUGGGGGAAACCCUGAUGCAGCCAUGCCGCGUGUGUGAAGAAGGCCUUCGGGUUGUAAAGCACUUUCAGCGAGGAGGAAAGGGUGUAAGUUAAUACCUUACAUCUGUGACGUUACUCGCAGAAGAAGCACCGGCUAACUCCGUGCCAGCAGCCGCGGUAAUACGGAGGGUGCGAGCGUUAAUCGGAAUUACUGGGCGUAAAGCGUGCGCAGGCGGUUUGUUAAGCGAGAUGUGAAAGCCCCGGGCUCAACCUGGGAACCGCAUUUCGAACUGGCAAACUAGAGUCUUGUAGAGGGGGGUAGAAUUCCAGGUGUAGCGGUGAAAUGCGUAGAGAUCUGGAGGAAUACCGGUGGCGAAGGCGGCCCCCUGGACAAAGACUGACGCUCAGGCACGAAAGCGUGGGGAGCAAACAGGAUUAGAUACCCUGGUAGUCCACGCCGUAAACGAUGUCAACUCGGAGUUUGGUGUCUUGACCCUGGGCUCUCAAGCUAUCG